AUACGUAGGUGACAAGCGUUAUCCGGAUUUACUGGGUGUAAAGGGCGUGUAGGCGGUUUGGCAAGUCAGAAGUGAAAUUCCCGGGCUUAACUUGGGCGCUGCUUCUGAAACUGCUUAACUUGAGUGCUGGAGAGGAUAGUGGAAUUCCAAGUGUAGCGGUAAAAUGCGCAGAUAUUAGGAGGAACACCGGUGGCGAAGGCGGCUAUCUGGACAGUAACUGACGCUGAGGCGCGAAAGCACGGGGAGCAAACAGGAUUAGAUACCCUGGUAGUCCGUGCCGUAAACGAUGAAUACUAGGUGUAGGGGGUAUCGACUCCCUCUGUGCCGCAGUUAACACAUUAAGUAUUCCACCUGGGGAGUACGGCCGCAAGGUUGAAACUCAAAGGAAUUGACGGGG
rnacentral:rRNA from 1 species